GACGAACGCUGGCGGCGUGCCUAAUACAUGCAAGUAGAACGCACAGUUUAUACCGUAGCUUGCUACACCAUAGACUGUGAGUUGCGAACGGGUGAGUAACGCGUAGGUAACCUGCCUGGUAGCGGGGGAUAACUAUUGGAAACGAUAGCUAAUACCGCAUAAUAUUAAUUAUUGCAUGAUAAUUAAUUGAAAGGUGCAAUUGCACCACUACCAGAUGGACCUGCGUUGUAUUAGCUAGUAGGUGAGGUAACGGCUCACCUAGGCGACGAUACAUAGCCGACCUGAGAGGGUGAUCGGCCACACUGGGACUGAGACACGGCCCAGACUCCUACGGGAGGCAGCAGUAGGGAAUCUUCGGCAGUGGACGAAAGUCUGACCGAGCAACGCCGCGUGAGUGAAGAAGGUUUUCGGAUCGUAAAGCUCUGUUGUAAGAGAAGAACGGGUGUGAGAGUGGAAAGUUCACACUGUGACGGUAUCUUACCAGAAAGGGACGGCUAACUACGUG
rnacentral:rRNA from 1 species